CGGGACACGUGGUAUCCUGUCUGAAUAUGGGGGGACCAUCCUCCAAGGCUAAAUACUCCUGACUGACCGAUAGUGAACCAGUACCGUGAGGGAAAGGCGAAAAGAACCCCGGCGAGGGGAGUGAAAAAGAACCUGAAACCGUGUACGUACAAGCAGUGGGAGCACGCUUAGGCGUGUGACUGCGUACCUUUUGUAUAAUGGGUCAGCGACUUAUAUUCUGUAGCAAGGUUAACCGAAUAGGGGAGCCGAAGGGAAACCGAGUCUUAACUGGGCGUUAAGUUGCAGGGUAUAGACCCGAAACCCGGUGAUCUAGCCAUGGGCAGGUUGAAGGUUGGGUAACACUAACUGGAGGACCGAACCGACUAAUGUUGAAAAAUUAGCGGAUGACUUGUGGCUGGGGGUGAAAGGCCAAUCAAACCGGGAGAUAGCUGGUUCUCCCCGAAAGCUAUUUAGGUAGCGCCUCGUGAAUUCAUCUCCGGGGGUAGAGCACUGUUUCGGCAAGGGGGUCAUCCCGACUUACCAACCCGAUGCAAACUGCGAAUACCGGAGAAUGUUAUCACGGGAGACACACGGCGGGUGCUAACGUCCGUCGUGAAGAGGGAAACAACCCAGACCGCCAGCUAAGGUCCCAAAGUCAUGGUUAAGUGGGAAACGAUGUGGGAAGGCCCAGACAGCCAGGAUGUUGGCUUAGAAGCAGCCAUCAUUUAAAGAAAGCGUAAUAGCUCACUGGUC
rnacentral:rRNA from 1 species